rnacentral:rRNA from 1 species
GAUGAACGCUAGCGGCAGGCCUAAUACAUGCAAGUCGAGGGGCAGCGGGGUAGCAAUACUGCCGGCGACCGGCGCACGGGUGCGUAACACGUAUGCAACCUACCUUAAACUGGGAGAUAGCCCGGGGAAACUCGGAUUAAUACCCCAUAAUACAUUUGGUUCACAUGAAUUGAUUGUUAAAGAUUUAUCGGUUUAAGAUGGGCAUGCGUUCGAUUAGCUAGUUGGUAAGGUAACGGCUUACCAAGGCUACGAUCGAUAGGGGGUCUGAGAGGAUGAUCCCCCACACUGGUACUGAGAUACGGACCAGACUCCUACGGGAGGCAGCAGUAGGGAAUAUUGGUCAAUGGAGGCAACUCUGAACCAGCCAUGCCGCGUGUAGGAAGAAGGCGUUCUGCGUUGUAAACUACUUUUGAUUGGGAACAAAUGACUCUUGCGAGAGUAGCUGAGUGUACCAAUAGAAUAAGCCACGGCUAACUACGUGCCAGCCGCCGCCGUAA